AAUCAAGAACGAAAGUCAGAGGUUCGAAGACGAUCAGAUACGGUCGUAGUUCUGACCGUAAACGAUGCCAACUGUCGAUCCGCCGGAGUUGCUUCAAUGACUCGGCGGGCAGCCUCCGGGAAACCAAAGUUUCUGGGUUCCGGGGGGAGUAUGGUUGCAAAGCUGAAACUUAAAGGAAUUGACGGAAGGGCACCACCAGGAGUGGAGCCUGUGGCUUAAUUUGACUCAACACGGGGAACCUCACCCGGCCCGGACACUGCAAGGAUUGACAGAUUGAGAGCUCUUUCUUGAUUCGGUGGGUGGUGGUGCAUGGCCGUUCUUAGUUGGUGGAGCGAUUUGUCUGGUUAAUUCCGAUAACGAACGAGACUCUAGCCUGCUAAAUAGUUCGGGGAUCGUUCGGAGUCCCCGCCAAACUUCUUAGAGGGACAAGUGGCGCUUAGCCACACGAGAUUGAGCAAUAACAGGUCUGUGAUGCCCUUAGAUGUUCGGGGCCGCACAUGCGCUACACUGAAUGGAUCAGCGUGCGUCUCGCCUGGCCCGAAAGGGCUGGGAAACCCGUUGAACCCCAAUCGUGAUAGGGAUUGGGGCUUGCAAUUGUUCCCCAUGAACGAGGAAUUCCCAGUAAGCGCGAGUCAUCAGCUCGCGUUGAUUACGUCCCUGCCCUUUGUACACACCGCCCGUCGCUAC
rnacentral:rRNA from 1 species